GACGAACGCUGGCGGCGUGCUUAACACAUGCAAGUCGAGCGGUAAGGCCCUUUCGGGGUACGACGAGCGGCGAACGGGUGAGUAACACGUGGGUGGACCUGCCCUCCAGCUCUGGGAGUAAGCCUCGGGAAACCGGGGUACGUAAUAACCGGAUAUGACUCCAUGACGCAUGUUGUGGGGUGGAAAGCCUUGUGCGGCUGAGGAUGGGCCCGGCGGCCUAUCAGCUUGUUGGUGGGGUGAUGGCCUACCAAGGCGACGACGGGUAGCCGGCCUGAGAGGGCGACCGGCCACACUGGGGACUGAGACACGGCCCAGACUCCUACGGGGAGGCAGCAGUGGGGGAAUCUUGCGCAAUGGGGCGAAAGCCUGACGCAGCGACGCCGCGUGAGGGAUGACGGCCUGGUG
rnacentral:rRNA from 1 species